rnacentral:piRNA from 1 species
UGUCCUACAACAGUGAUGUGGUGUCA